rnacentral:rRNA from 1 species
GACGAACGCUGGCGGCGUGCCUAAUACAUGCAAGUCGAGCGGACAGACGGGAGCUUGCUCCCUGAUGCUAGCGGCGGACGGGUGAGUAACACGUGGGUAACCUGCCUGUAAGACUGGGAUAACUCCUGGAAACCGGGGCUAAUACCGGAUGGUUGUCUGAACCGCAUGGUUCAGACAUAAAAGGUGGCUUCGGCCACCACUUACAGAUGGACCCGCGGCGCAUUAGUUAGUUGGUAAGGUAACGGCACACCAAGGCAACGAGGCGUAGCCGACCGGAGAGGGGGUUGGCCACACCUGGACCGGGGACCCGCCCAGGCUCCUAAGGGGAGGAGCAGGAGGGGAACUUCCGCAAUUGACGGAAGGCUGGAGGGAGAAAGGCGCGUGGGGGGUGAAGGGUCUCGGAUCGUAAAGCUCUGUUGUUAGGGAAGGAAAAGUGCCGUACAAAUAGAGCGGCACCUUGACGGUACCUAACCAGAAAGCCACGGCUAACUACGUG